GACGAACGCUGGCGGCGUGCCUAAUACAUGCAAGUCGAACGCUGAAGGAGGAGCUUGCUUCUCUGGAUGAGUUGCGAACGGGUGAGUAACGCGUAGGUAACCUGCCUUGUAGCGGGGGAUAACUAUUGGAAACGAUAGCUAAUACCGCAUAAUAUUUACUAUUGCAUGAUAGUCAGUUGAAAGGUUCAACUGCACCACUACCAGAUGGACCUGCGUUGUAUUAGCUAGUUGGUGGGGUAACGGCUCACCAAGGCGACGAUACAUAGCCGACCUGAGAGGGUGAGCGGCCACACUGGGACGGAGACACGGCCCAGACGCCUACGGGAGGCAGCCAGAGGGAAUCGGCGGGAAUGGACGGAAGUCUGACCGAGCAACGCCGCGGGAGGGAGGAAGGUUGUCGGAUCGUAAAGGUCGGUUGUAAGAGAAGAAAGAGUGUGAGAGUGGAAAGCUCACAGUGUGACGGUAUCUGACCAGGAAGGGACGGCUAACUACGUG
rnacentral:rRNA from 1 species